CAUGUGACAGCAAUUCGUUAUUUCUUUGAAAUUAUGUUCAAAGGUAUGCCUUUAGUGUAACCGUGAAUCUCAACAGACCAUUUCAAAAAUACACUAACACCGCAUAAUAUGAUGGAAAGAAGCUCUUUUUGAAGUCCCUACAUAUUAAUGUCAUCAUAGAAGACAAAUCCAUCUGCUGCUAUUUAGAAGAUUCGCUGGGAUUGACUGCAUAUGUUAGGACAGAAGUUUUUUUUGUGUGUGUUAGUGGAUUAAAAUGAGGAAGAAAAAAAUUUCCCUCUCUCAGAUGCUACAUACCCUGAAAGGGAAAAUAGUGAGCAACUUUCAAAUGACAGACUCAUAGAAAAACAAUUUCUUUCCUUCUGCCAAGGUCAUAGAGAAAUUAACUAAGUCCUAAUGACAGGGAUAUACUAACAUAUAUGUUCAUCACUUGGCACUAAUCACAGACAUACUUCACACAAUAUUUGGGAAACAACACAAUGAUGUGCAGAGUGGGUCUUACUAUAGAGACAGAGAUGCUUUUGGGUAUUAUGUUCUGAAGUUUAAUGUCUUCUGCAAAACAAUACCUGAGAUCCCCACAUAUUUGUGUUGAAGAGAUGGCAGAAAGAACCAUGGAGAAUCAGAGGUGGUUGAUGAUUCCAAUGUACCAACAUUUUCCAGUCUCAACUUUACUAUAGGACAUAGGAAUUCAGAGUUGUGGGUGGAGACACAAGAAAAGAUCUGCACUUAUUCAAUGCAUACAAAAAUAAAUACAAAAGGAAUAAGGAAAUAUGGUGUGUUUAUUAUUUUACAGGGAAGUACUGAAUAAAUCUCUGAAAUCAGCAAUAAAUGUUUGAUUUCCAACCAGGCUCAUGCCUUGUCAGAUUUCAUAUAUUGGAAUGGCCUAACAAUUAGAAAAGAAUAUGUACAAGGGAUUCUGCAUGCCAGAACACAGUAAUAAAGCAAAAGAAUGCAAAGUUGAGCCUGUGCGAACCUAUAUGGCAAAACGAUGAUAACAAGUAAUUUUCCUGUGCUAUAAUUUAUGAUCCAUAUUUUAUUUUCUUAGGUGAUAGGUAGGGUAGUGUCUACAAAUAUUACUAAUCGAUAUUUUCAGUGACUCUGAAGAUCAUGAUGGAAUGUACAGUGCCCUAGGCAUCCCCACAAUUAAUCUCCCAGGGUAGAGGAAAGAGCAGGAUUUCGCUAGUCUCUGCAGAUACUAAAGACUUAACAAAAUUAUCUUCCUUGCCCAUAGAGCAGAACUUCAAGCCUGAUACACAGAUGCCAUAUCGUUAAGGGAAGAAGUAACUUGAGAAGAAGAAAAGGGCAGGAUUCCUCUAGGCUCUGCAAGAUAGGAACAUAUCAAGUGAAUUCAAACUAACAGAGGGAGGCCUCAUCUUUAAAGACAAGCAGUAUAUGCAGAAGCAGGAUCUGCUUGCUGCACAUUUGACAGGAUUAGGUGAAUCAGGGCUGUAAUGGUGGGAAUCAAACAAUGUCUGAAUUUGCAAAUUUCCAAGGGCUCUGUUUCUUGUGCAUGCUAGGAUCAAUCAGCUUUGUCUAGGUCAAUGUACAAUAGGGUUUUGGUUAUACCCAUGAGCACCUGACAACCCAAAUAUAGCCAGAGCCUGACAGGUAAGGACCUGCUCUGCUCACAACUGUAUUAACUCUCCUUGCUUCUGAACAAGGGGUGUGUGCUUUCCAUUUGUGUCUGGAAUAGGAACCUGUUAGAGCCCAUUUACCCAGCAAGUUUGCAUAGAGAGGAUGAUGGGACCAUGGGCUGAGUACAGGUGACUAAGAUUGUAUACAAUGUGCUGUGCUGGGGGGAGGUCUUUUCCUCCACCCCUUGGCAUUCCUUUAAAUACCUUAUGCCACACGGAUUUAAAUCCAGGCAAUCUGGAGGCUAAUCUGUUAUUUCUGUUACUCCCCCUCCUUAUCAUUCUACCUAAUAUUUCCUGCUGCUUCUAAGCAAGAGUACUCUGGGGAAAUGUGGGAGUCGGGAAUGCCCCUUGCAUAGGAUCCAAUCAGGAGAGUGAUCUCAAAUCUACCAAUGGAAAGCAAAUCCUGUGGCACUCUUUGAGAUCUGCUUCAGAGCUGCUGAGUCAUUUCACCCUCUCAAGUAAAUGUGUGCUGCAGCGCUGCAGCUAUAAAAACGAAACUGAAAAUGGAUGACUGGAAAAAAGAAAUUCCAAUGGACUCUGCUUCAGGACUCUGCACUACAAUUCCCUGAUCAACUCAUCCAUCCCUUCUCCGUCUAUGAAACAGAAAGAGAAUGAUAUACUCUUGGGACUCUUGGGCAAGAGCAGGGACGCUCCAUUGUACCUGUAGCAUACCUGUCAAAAAACUACACCUCACCACACAGGGAGGGUCACCAAUCAUAUGUGAUUCGGGGGCUGUUAAGUUCCUUAAUAGUGAAUCAAAUAAAUGAAAUUUUGGGUCACCUAAUCCAUCACCUUCCCACAAUAAUUUGUUCCAUCUUUUAACUUAUAAAGUCUUACAAACUUUUUCAA